CAAUAGCGUAUAUUAAAGUUGUUGCAGUUAAAAAGCUCGUAGUUGGAUUUGUGGCGUACGACGGGCUCCGGGCACUUGUUGUCUGAGUAGCUUGUCGUUGCCAUCCUUGGGUGGAACCUGUGUGGCAUUAGGUUGUCGUGCAGGGGAUGCCCAUCUUUUACUGUGAAAAAAUUAGAGUGUUCAAAGCAGGCUUAUGCCGUUGAAUAUAUUAGCAUGGAAUAAUAAGAUAGGACUUUGUCGCUAUUUUGUUGGUUUGCGCGAUAAGGUAAUGAUUAAUAGGGACAGUUGGGGGUAUUCGUAUUCCAUUGUCAGAGGUGAAAUUCUUGGAUUUACGCAAGACAAACAGCUGCGAAAGCGUCUGCCAAGGAUGUUUUCAUUAA
rnacentral:rRNA from 1 species